rnacentral:rRNA from 1 species
CGAACGCAGUAGCAAUACUGAGUGGCAAACGGGUGAGUAUAAUGUGGGAAUCUGCCUUUUGGUUUGGAAUAACACGGGGAAACUUGUGCUAAUACCGAAUAAGCCCUUACGGGGAAAGUUUUAAUGCCGAAAGAUGAGCCCGCACUUGAUUAGCUAGUUGGUAAGGUAAAAGCUUACCAAGGCAACGAUCAAUAGCUGUUCUUAGAGGAAGACCAGCCACAUUGGGACUGAGACACGGCCCAGACUCCUACGGGAGGCAGCAGUGGGGAAUCUUGCACAAUGGGGGAAACCCUGAUGCAGCGAUGCCGCGUGAGUGAAGAAGGCCCUUGGGUUGUAAAACUCUUUCGUCGGGGAAGAAAAUGACUGUACCCGAAUAAGAAGGUCCG